GGUAAAAUGGGCCUGGGGUAAUGCAGCAGGGUUCAGGGGCAUCAGAAGGGGCAUUGUGGGCAUCUAAGUUGGCCUGGGGUCCUCUGGAGGUUGCCUCCCUCUUUCUGUCUCUGUUGUUUGUGCCUGGGUGAGAGUUCUCUGCUGUGUUUGUUCUCUCUUUUUGCAGGGAGCUGAACUGCUUUGCCCCAGCCCAGCUGCAGAUCUGCACUCAGCCUCAGCCCCAAGCCCUGGCAGGGUGGGAUGCUUUGGUACCAGGCCGUGGAGCUGUUUGAAAUGCAAUUGCUGCUUGCAGCUGGUUCAGAAAUGGAUUUCCUGUGGCUGUGGGGGCAGAAAUGUCUCUGUGCACACGCUCAGAGGACAGGUCCCUGGACUGCAGUGCUGCUCCAAUGGCCUGUGGUGGCUGCAGGCAGCCGCGGCCCGGGGAGCCCAAGACUCAGCGUGUGGAAGGGUUGGGAGCAGCCCUGGGUGCCUGCAAGGAUUCGGGAGGUGAGCUGAGCAGGCCCGAGCAGGUCUGAAACCCUGCCACGGAGAGGCACUGGCACCGCAGCAGUGCCUGCAUUUCAGCAGCUGCCCAUCGGAGCUAAGCACAGCCUCGGCUCAGAGCUCAGGAGCAUGUCUGCUGGGCAGUGCUGGGGGCCAGGCGUCCCUCCUGUGUGUGCAUGGCCCACAUGGCAGCACCCUGCAGUCAGAGCUGACUGUGUGCACUGGAGGUGGAGUGUUGGAGUGGGAUCAGCUCAGAGCUCUGCAAGGUUUGCACUUUGCUUUCCACUCCACUGGCCAAGCCAGCCAGAUGUGCAGCAGCAGCAGGAUGGGCACGAGGGCCCCAGCUGCUGCGGUGAAUCCGUCAGCACGGACGCUGGUGCCGCUGCAGCCUGGCCCUGCAGCCUGGCAGGGUGAUCUCCUUUGGCUCGGCUCCUGUGGGCUCCAGGUAGGGUUUGUCUGUGUCUGCCAGGAGGGAAGGGUUGAAAAGGAGAUUGCUCAGUCCGAGCUCUGACCUAGUAGCUGAAGAUUCUGUCCAAUGCAGAUGCUAACAGAGCAGCUGGAUGAGCAGAAAGCCUCUCUUGCAAAUGGCUGUGGAGUGCUUCUCUCUGUUCCCUGCUGCUGGGAGGUGCUGACAGGUUAGAGUUAGUGGAGGGGUGUGAAGAAUUUGCAGGGAUCUCUAAGGGUCUGCAGACCCCUUUGAAAGGUCUGAAGUUGUCUGUAGAUGUCUCUAGGGCACUGCAGGGGUCUGCAGGGGUCUGCUGCUACGGGAGGAGUGGGCUGGCGGAGCCACGCCCCCCGGGCUGCGGAGCCACGCCCCCUCCCUGGCCUUUCUUGCCUGGCUCUGGUUGCUGCCUGUUUAUUUGCAUAGCCACACCCCCGUCCACUUGCUGUCUAGUCCCCGCCCCUUUCUUUCUGAGCCACGCCCCCUUUCCUGUUCUGUGUCUGGUCCCCGCCCCUUUUCCUUAGCCACACCCCCUCAGUGCAAUGCCUAUUCCCUGCCCAUCCAUAGCCACGCCCUCUCCCCAUGCUGUGUCUAGUCCCCACCCUUUCCGUAGCCACGCCCUCUCCCCAUGCUGUAUCUAGUCCCCAUCCAGCCUGGAGUUGUGCUUGGGAUUGUGCCCACCCAGGUGCAGGACCUUGCACUUGGCCUUGAUGAAUGCCAUGAGGUUGGCCUGGGCGCACCUCUGCAGCCUGCCCAGUUUGUAACUGGGGCUGUAAAGAAUGGUUAUGCAUUGCCUGUGCUUCUGAUUUCAGGAGAGUCCCAUUUCAUUCUUGAUGCUUUCUUUAAGAGAGGCAUACAACUGAGCUCCCUCAGAGAAGCAGCAUGAAGUGCAUGAAGGAUGCUGGCUGCACUCAGUACAGACAAGGCACAUUGGAUUGCUUGGCAUUUGCAGUUGACUACUUCUUCUCUGGCCUUUGGAGUGAAGGAAGGGAAAAACCAGAGUUGAAGACGUCAGCUCUGUGCCAAAAAGGAGACCUUCUUCACCUGCUUCUCCUGUGCAAGCUCUUCUGUCUGUCUGCUGAGAUGUUUCUGCCUGUUUCUCUGGCAGAGAAGUGUUUGCUGUUUUGGCUGGCGAGCUGACCAUCCGUACUACCGUCACCUUGAAUGCCUCCAACCAGCAGUGUUUGCUGCCAGACAGACACCUGGAGAAGACAGAGGACAUGGUUAAGGUCAUGAAGGAUAUCUUGGAUGGUGCUGCUGAAGCACAGGCUGGUGAUGGACUUCUGCAAUGAAGCAAGAGAGUCAUCUAUGAGGCCAAGGCUGCUGUAAUGGUAGAGUUCAUUGCUUAUUCAGUGAGGUGAUGCUCUUGUCAGUCAAGAAGGACUUAGUUGCAGAGGCUUUGGAAAUGCUUUGAUGUAAGCUUGUUGCUAUGCUGUGCCUAGUGUAUCUAUUGUCACUAUUUAGAACUAGGCUUAAACCAAAUGAACUUCUGGAUUAAAACAGCCAAUCAUGUCUGCCACAGUU